rnacentral:sRNA from 1 species
AUGCCAACUCUGGGAACUGAGGUCCUUUAUCCUCAGAACAUAUGCACAAUGAACAGCAACAGUGAAGACUUUCACCACACUUUCCUGUCUAUGGGUUUCACACUGCCCUGGAGGAACCAUCACUAGCUGAGAGAGAGGAGUUUAGUCCCUGUGGUCAAUCUUUGACUUCU